AGACAACAGCAGCUUGCUGCUCCGUGGCGGCUCCUAGGCGGCGAGACGGCAAGCAAGACUGCCCCAGAAAUGGAGAGGGCGUCCGUACGAGUCCAACGGAACAGGCGGCGUCCAAUUUGGUGGUCGGAUGAGGGAGAAAUCAACCGGAGAAGAAUGAGAGCGUGGGAGAGUCGGGAGAGAGGAGAGAGAACUGGAAACUGGCUGCUGCAACUUUAGGGCUUCAAAAAAAUAACUCCCACACAUUUUUCUACUUAUAUAUACUUUCCAAACCCGGAAACUAACUUCCUCUGACCAUAACUUUCUCAUACGACAUCCGUUUUAGACGUGCCGCAUGUCUACGAACUCGUAUCGACAAGCUCUACAACUUUCAUGAAGGAAGUUUUCGAAGAUAACUUACGGAAAAUAAAGUCAACUUUUGGCCUAUUAAAAGUCAAGGCAACUUUAAAUAAACUCCCGAACUUCAACUUCGCAUAAACCCAAGAAUUUUCAUGAAUAAUCCUUCAUUAAAAUAAGGGAAUAAAAUAAGGAAAAUAGAAAUGAAAAUCUAGGGUAUUACAGUCGGAAUGUUGAUCCUUUUACUAUGCUCUUUGUCGUUAUCACGAAUUCUCCUAAGUCAACCUCACUUUCUUAAACAAGUUGAAUGAAUCUGAUUUUCCAUCUCAGUCAUUGAUCUUUUUCAUUCAUAAACCUUGUUUGGUUUGAUGGUGUUGUGUUUAAUUUGGUGGUCUUAUGUUUCGAUAAGACAUGUUGCACUACUCGACGUUAUAUGAAUCGUACACGAGUGAUGUUAUUCGCUUUGUUUUCUUUUUUUAAUUAGGUUUUGUCACAUCCCGACCCUUAUAUUUUUACCUUAUUUACUAGCGUGAUUAUAAUAAGAAUUUUACCGUCUCGAUUAUUGAGUAAAUAGUUUAAUUGGUCCCUAGAGGGGUUUCGGGGACGAUUAUGUGCGGAGGAUUAUUCGUAUGAGGAAAAUACGAUGACGGUAAAAAUAGUAAAUUUUAGCUAGUAAAAGGUAAUUUUUAUUCGGGUAUUAUUUUUCGGGGUGUUGAAUUUUGGAAUUAUGGGUUAAAAGGGGUGUUGGGUCGGCUGGGCCGAGCCCAACCCAUUUCUUCUUCUUUCUCUUCUCCCUCCCUCCCGAUUUUUCUUCUCCUCCCACCCGAUUUUCUUCUCUCUACACCCAGCAAACUUCCGGCCGUCCUCCCGCCGCCGUCCGACCUCCGUUCGCCGCCGGACCGGUCCCGUUCGGUCGGUCUCCCU
rnacentral:lncRNA from 1 species